AUAACCAUCUUAUACAAAAUAAUUCCAGAAUUCAAUUUUUCACAGCAGUUUCUUUUAAACAACUGUGUCUAUACUUGUGUGUGUGCACGCAUAUGCAGACAGCUCAACCUUAGUUAACACAAUGUAGAAAGAGGUGGAAGAACAUUAACUUUGUUUAUUUGAGAGAGUGUAGUAGAACAAGUGAUUGGGAGGGAGAUGGAAAAUAACUCAUUAUUUAUAUAAGUUACGCCUGAAAAUUCUUACUGGUUUUAUCAAGGGUUGAUAUCAGCU
rnacentral:lncRNA from 1 species